AUUUACAUUAAAUCCAUGGGUUCUCUGUUUAUCAUCUUAAUCUCACAUCAUCGUAAGCUCUCUGUAUUAUGGCAUUGUUGCAGUCUAAUAAAUAUUUUUCCUUUUGUUCUUUGUGCAGCGGAUGCCAGUCACAGGCUCAAUCUCUUCUACCUUGCUAACGAUGUCAUUCAGAACUGCAAAAGGAAGAACGCUAUCAUUUACCGAACCACCUUCGCUGAGGUGCUGCCUGACGCCGCCCUGCUGGUCAAGGAUGCUAAAGUGUGUAAGUCAGUGGACAGGAUCUUCAGUAUUUGGCAGGAGAGGAACGUUUAUCCUGAGGAGCUGAUCUCUGAGCUGAAGGCCAGUCUGCAGAAGAAAGAGAAGAAGGAGAAAGUGAAAGAGAAACAGCCUUCUCCUGCCCCAGACAACCCCAAAACUGCUCUGAAGUCUAAAAUUGUUGCAGAGUUUGUACCGCAUGAUUUUGUAGAGUGGUUAAUGUCUUACAAGAACUCUCUGGACGAGAGUGAUUUAAGAGAGAAGCAGCUUGCUGCUCUCAGAGUAGACGUCUGCAGCACCGAGGCCCUCAAAAGGUUCAAAGAUAAAGCAGGAGGGAAUAAGUUCUCGGAGGACUUUGAGGAGGGAAGCACAAAGCUGCAGGAAUUUGUGACGUUCCUGGAGGGCCAGAUAAAAGCAGGACCCCCGCUGCUGGAGGCGCUGGGAAACGCAGACAUCUUUUACCAGAUGCAAUACAAAGAGGUCAAAAUUGUUGCCAAUGCGUAUAAAGCUUUUGCCAAUCGCGUCAGUAGCCUGAAGCGUAAGCUGGACGCUCUGAAGGCCACAUUGCCCAGUCUGGAUGACUCUCCCAUCCCUUCCCCCUCUGAGGACGCCCCGUCUCCCACCGGCUCAGAGUCGCCCUUCCAUAGCAUGAGCUCCAGGAGCGGAUUGGGUAGUGGGGAUGGAAACGGAGGGAGAGGUUUGGAUCAACAGAAGGACAACAGAGACACAGAGGACAUGGACAUGUCUGAGGAAGAGGAAACGACGGCAAAUGCUGGAAACGUUGUUGAUGAGAGAACAGAGAAGGCAAGUCUUCCAUCUGUGUCCAAGAUUACAAAUGCUACAGCUACAAAAAGCUCUCAGAUCACUGCUUCUAAACCAUCCCAGAUUUUAGCAACUCCGACAAACACGGUGGCUGUGUCAUCGACCAAUCAAACGCCUCCAGCAAACACCACACCUAUUACGACCACACCUGUACCUGCCCCUGUCGUUAGCCCCUCCCCCCUACAGGUGAACUUGGCCAAUGUGGAUCUGGGCAAGAUCAGCUCCAUUCUGAGCUCGCUCUCCAAUGCAAUGAAGACCACCGGCGUUAGUCCUGUGUCCCGUCUUUCCCCUGGCACACCUACUACACCAUCCAGCCAUGCCUCCUCCUCCAAAGCCCCUCCUUUGACCCCUGGCAGCAUUCCCUCAUCAAAUCCUCUGGCUAGCAUCUUGUCUAAAGUGGAUUUCUCCCCCGGGAACAUCCUGAAUGUUCUCACAAAAACACAGACUCACAGCCCCAACCUGCAGGGUUUGUCUUCUCUCCUUUCAUCAGCUCGUUCAGGCGCUCUCACCACUCCAGACCCUGUUCCGUCUUCAUCUGCCUCUUCUUCAUCUUCAGCUGUCACCACAGCUGCAACAACCUCCACAACAACAACCCCAACAACUCAGAAGGCCCUAAAGCCCACAGGCAACAAUUUCAAGCGAGAGUCUGAGCGAGAGAAAGGGAGAGAGUGGGAGAAGGUAAAAGAGAGGGAAAGAGAAAAAGAAAGGGAACGAGUUAAAGAGAGAAAGAAAGAAAGUGAGACCGAGGCUGUGGUAGUGCCCAGCCUGGAGUCUAAGAUCAACAGUUUCCUCCAGGGAAAUCCUGGUUUCAGUGCUCUCGGACUUGGCUUGGAUGAGGUGGGCAGCAAUAGCCCUCUCCUCGUCGGUGGGGAUAACCUGGAUGGCACCCCUGUCCGAGAUGAGAGCGGAAGCACACCCACCCAAGAUGAAAUUAUGGACUCGCCCCAUGUACUCGGUGCACCCCAGAGUGCAGGUCUGUCUGGAGGUCAUAACCUUUCACCUACAGCCUAUCACAGUGACCCCUGGGAUGCCGUGAUCACUCCACGAGAGGCUCUGGGAGAAAACGAGCGGAAAGACCGGGAUUACCGCACACCACCACCCUCACGACUUGCCACCUUUAGCCCAAGUGCGACUAAACCGGUCAAGGCCAUGACUAAAACCAAAGAGGAAGAAGGGUUGAAGAGAAAAGUACCGGGUUUGAAUGUUCCAUCAGCUGCCAUAGUGCAGGAUCAGAAGAUAAAGGCAAAGAUGGACGGAGAUGGAGAGAAAAAUGCAUCCUCCCGAAAGCCAAGUGUAGGAUCCGACAAUGGGACGAAAGACAAGGAAAGGAAAGCUUCAGCUGGCAAUGGAGACCACUACCAUCGCAUUGAGACUCUUGUUUCUUCAUCCUCCAGUGAGGGAGCACCAAUCGAAACCCUUGAUUAUGGCAACCGCAUCCAAACUGUGGAAAGCAUCCGCGUGGUUGGGAGAGUCCUGAGAAGAGGGAGCAGUGCGGGUUCUAGAGUGGGCGGGGCCUGGUAUGAAGAGGAGGAGUUUAUGGAAGCCCCGCCUCCACAUCACCCUGCUAGUCGUAGCCAUGAGAGUUCUGAGGAGUUGGGAUUGGUCCCUCCUCUUCCGCUUCCUCUUCCUCACCCUCCUCCUCUUCCUGCUCACCUUCCGCCCCCUUUGCAGUAUCCACCGCCACCCUAUCCAAACGAAGACCCCAUACGACCUUCUCAUGGCAUUCCUCAGCACCAUCCUCCCCCUCCGUUUUUUCCCUCUUCCAUUCCUCCCAUCCCUCAAACCCCUCCUCCUUCCAGAGACUUCCCCCUUUCCUCAAACUCCACCGUUAUGGUUGGUGGUGUCCUUGUACCUAUAGACCGAGUCCUACCCUAUCCACCUGCCAAAUUCCAUCCUGAUGGAGCGGGGCAUGGAGGUAGCGGUGGUAGUGCCCCUCCCAGAGGCGGCAAACCCCAACUCCCUUCCUUGUUAGGAGAUCCCCCUCGCCCAGGCACGGUGAAAGAGCAGUUCGUCUUGCGCCACAACCCACCUCUUCACCGUCCUGGCACCCCGGGAGUUCCUCCACCCCUCCUGGGCAGAAUUCGAGAAGGCCCCAGUCCCACACCACCAUCACCCUCUACCCCAACCACACCUACUCCUUCAUCCCCAGCUGGGGAACCCCAUCCUCAUUUGUCUGUCCCCAACCGCCUACUCCUCCACACCCCAAAUCAGAGACCCCGCCGCCCUUCCUCCCCUCUGCCCCUCCUCCAAUUCCCAAACCAGCAUCACGCGCGUCGUUCCCCACAGUUUCCCAGAGGUUCCUUGCCCCUUAACCGUGAACCCCUUCUACCUGGGACAAAGCGUCCUGCUGCUGGUUUCGGCAGUGGGCCUUUCAACCCACCCAAAAGACCGUUUCUCCCCCCUCGAUAUUAGCAUCUCAGAAUGCUCUCUGUACAACGUGAAAUAGGAAGUGUAGCAAGUUGCAUCACCUGCUAAUCUCAACGUGAGAGUUAUACCGCAUGUAAAAAUACACAUGCACCGACACGCCCUGCCCCAUGUUACAGCACUACUCUUCUCAGUGAAAGAAGUUUUCAGAUACCCUAAAGAUGAACUAGGAGGAGGAGAAUGUGGAGAUCCAGAAACAUCCAUGGAAUAUGAAAGAAGGCAAAAGAGGCAGGUGUAACCAUCUGUGAUUAAAUGCGACUGGAGAAGCACAAAGCAUGGAGAGAGGAUCUGAUCAUCCGAUUGGCUGACGGCAGGACGGUCAAAGGUCAGCUGGUGUGACCUCGCCGUUACAGAUGGCCCAGAGUGAACGUGUGAUGUUGGAGCAGCGGGUUCGAGCAGAUUUUGGCGCGCUGCACCAUAACAAACACUCGGGGGCGCUGGGGGGUUUAACCAGAGUCCGGCGCUUCUGCCAGGACCACUCGCACAUCUUCUGCACACCUGAGCAGGCCUUUCUGGUUGUCGCCAGCGCAGGUGAUGGUGUUGCCUGUAGGGGGCAGCAGUGAGACGCAGAGACAGGAGUGGUGGGAGAGAAGGAGUGUGAGCGUGCGGACGAGAGCAGGGAAGCAGCUCGGCCAGGAAUCACUGCAGGAAGUGAUGCGCUCACUGAAGGAACUCAGACAGACAGAGUUGUAAACGCUCACGUGACACACACCACGACAGGACCUUUAUAUGAGCUGUUAUCAGCUUCAUCAGAUCCCUGUUGAGUUCUACAGACACACAAACUCAUUCAUUUCAGCAGUGGACCUCUGAACCUGAUGUGCU